rnacentral:tRNA from 1 species
GCGCCCGUAGCUCAGUGGAUUAGAGCAGGCGGUUUCUACCCGCUUUGUCGGGGGUUCGAGUCCUCCCGGGCGCG